rnacentral:rRNA from 1 species
GACGAACGCUGGCGGCGUGCUUAACACAUGCAAGUCGAACGGAAAGGCCUGCUUUCCCUUGUGGAUUGCGGGUACUCGAGUGGCGAACGGGUGAGUAACACGUGAGUGAUCUGCCCCCAACUUGGGUAUAAGCCUGGGAAACUGGGUCUAAUUCCCGAUAGGACUGCAGGGUGGUGCCUGUGGUGGAAAACGAUUUUCUAGUGGUUGGGGAUGAGCUCGCGGCCUAUCAGCUUGUUGGUGGGGUAAUGGCCUACCAAGGCGGCGACGGGUAGCCGGCCUGAGAGGGUGGACGGCCACAUUGGGACUGAGAUACGGCCCAGACUGCUACGGGAGGCAGCAGUGGGGAAUAUAGCACAAUGGGCGGAAGCCUGAUGCAGCGACGCCGCGUGGGAGAUGACGGCCUUCGGGUUGUAAACUCCUUUCGACCGAGAGGAAGCCACCUGGUUGGAAGGGUGGUGACGGUAGUGGUAGAAGAAGCACCGGCUAACUACGUG